GCUGCAGGCAAGGGGCCGGGUAGAACCAAGGGAGGCAGGAGGGCAGCUGAGCUGGUGGCAAAGCCAUUGGAGCAGGUGGGGUUGAUUACCUGAGCAGGAGCUAUAUAAUGGCUGGGGAGGGGGUGGUUUAGUUCAGUCCAGCUUUGAUUUUGCUCUGAAUGUGAGGGGUCUGUGUUGGUUUCCAGCAGAUAGUUAUGAAGAAGGAAAAUGAGAAGCCCUUCUGUUGGGUGACAUGGAAUGCAUCUCAGGUUACCAGAAUAAAUGAGUGUGAGAAGAAUGUAUGCCUUUCAUGGAAGGCAUGGGGAAAUGCUUUUUGGCUACCCAUUUGAACUCACCUUGGAGCCUGCCAUAUGAAGAGAGAUGAACAAAUGUGUAAUGGUGUUCAGAUGAAUAGGAGUGCAUUCACCAGAUCAGCAGGUAAGAUCUGUGUAGUGAUAAUUGCUAAUCAUUCACAAACCACAUUAGAUCAAUU
rnacentral:lncRNA from 1 species